UACGUAGGGUGCGAGCGUUAAUCGGAAUUACUGGGCGUAAAGCGUGCGCAGGCGGUUUUGUAAGUCUGACGUGAAAUCCCCGGGCUUAACCUGGGAAGUGCGUUGGAGACUGCAAGGCUGGAGUCUGGCAGAGGGGGUAGAAUUCCACGUGUAGCAGUGAAAUGCGUAGAGAGUGUGGAGGAACACCGAUGGCGCAAGGCAGCCCCCUGGGUCGAAGAUUGA
rnacentral:rRNA from 1 species